rnacentral:rRNA from 1 species
UGGGGAAUAUUGGACAAUGGACCGAGAGUCUGAUCCAGCAAUUCUGUGUGCACGAUGACGUUUUUCGGAAUGUAAAGUGCUUUCAGUUGGGAAGAAAAAAAUGACGGUACCAACAGAAGAAGUGACGGCUAAAUACGUGCCAGAAGCCGCGGUAAUACGUAUGUCACGAGCGUUAUCCGGAUUUAUUGGGCGUAAAGCGCGUCUAGGUGGUUAUGUAAGUCUGAUGUGAAAAUGCAGGGCUCAACUCUGUAUUGCGUUGGAAACUAUGUAACUAGAGUACUGGAGAGGUAAGCGGAACUACAAGUGUAGAGGUGAAAUUCGUAGAUAUUUGUAGAAAUGCCGAUGGGGAAGCCAGCUUACUGGACAGAUACUGACACUGAAGAGCGAAAGCGUGGGUAGCAAACAGA